rnacentral:rRNA from 1 species
UGCGUAGGUGGCCCGAUUAGUCAGAGGUGAAAGCCUAUAGCUUAACUAUAGAAUUGCCUUUGAUACUGUCGGGCUUGAAUUAGGACGAGGUCAGCGGAAUGUGACAUGUAGCGGUGAAAUGCAUAGAUAUGUCAUAGAACACCAAUUGCGAAGGCAGCUGACUAGACCUUGAUUGACACUGAGGCACGAAAGCGUGGGGAGCGAACAGGAUUAGAUACCCUGGUAGUC